rnacentral:lncRNA from 1 species
GUGAACUGAGUAGAAUGUUUUGGUCAAGGCUAACCUGGACUGGACUGCUGGGAUCUGGUCUGGUUUGAUAUAGCUUUAUCUGGUUUGGGCUGGUCUAAUUUGGUCUAGGUCUAGCCUUUAUUCAUUUAAACUGGCCUGGGCUUGUCUAUUCUGGUCUAACUUCUGGGCUGGUCUAAGUUUUACUGGGCUAGUCUACUCUGGUAUAGUCUGUUUUGGUCUAACCAGGCCCAGUUUGGUCUAUUCUUGUGUUAUCUAAGCUAGUCUAGUCUGGCCUACAGUAGUGUGAUCUACCCUGAUCUAAUCUAGUCUAAACUAUUCUGGUCUAGUUGGUUUUGGUCUGGAUUGGUUAAAUUAGUCUGGUCUGGCUUGUGCUGGUAUGUUCUAGUCUGGUAUAGAUUAGUCAAAUCUAACCUGUUCUGUUCUGUUCUGGUGUAUAGCAGUCUGUUUUGGGUUGGUUUAUUCUUCUUUGGUCUAGCUGGGUCUGGUCUGAUAUGAGCUGGUCUUGACUGGUUAAUUCUGGUGAGUUCUAGCCUUGUCUCCAUUGGUCUAAAUUGGUCUGGGCUGGUCUAAACUGGGCUUAUAUGCUCUUAUUCUGGUGUUUUUUGUCUGGUCUGAGCUGUUCUGUUCUGGUAUGAUCGAGUCUAGACUGGCACAAGCCAUUCAUUGUUCGCUAUUUGUUUUCUCUAAGAGCAGCUGCUGAGCAAGGCACUGGAUCUCAGAAGAACUAGAGAAUGGAACUUGUUCUACUAGCAAACAAGUUCCAUUCAACAGGACUGAAGAUGAGGUGCCAUGAAGACAUCAAAGACAAUGGAGAUACCAUUCCAGGAGAGGAGCGAGAACAGCCUGCAUGGGGACUGAAUUCUUUCUUUCUCUGCCCAGGACUCAUUUUCCUUCCUUUGUUGUCACAGCAGGUGAUUUUCUUACAGAGAAGCAUCUGCUCUCACCCUUGUGGCACAGGUGGCCUUCUCUUGCCACCAAGUCCAGAGGAAUGCGUGCUACCUGGACUUAGCAGAACUUCCUUGUCCCUUCUAUUCCUGUGGCAGUGGGCUCAGAGGACUCAGGCUGGGAAGUGAGAAACUCCCAGAGUGAAGGCUCCUCACAGGAGUUUCUGCUGUGAGUCACUGAGCCAUGGUAACUGGGUGUCCCACAUCUGCUCUGACAGUCCUCUCAGCCUCUGGGUCACGGAUGAGCUGAUUGAUCAUCAGCAACUCCAGAGCACAGGGAAUGCCACCCUUGCAAGAAAACUCCCAAUCCUGAGUUCAGUCCACAUGCUUCAUUCCUGACCAAGAGGAUGCUGGGUACUGAGCAGUGACAGGCGUCCAUCAAGAGGACCCUAGGUGCCUUCCUUAUUUUUUUUCCCCCUGGGUGCAUGCCUCUCUGGCUCAGGUGGGAGGAAAGAGGAGACAGACUUGAACCUGUCAGGAGACAACAAGGACGGACCAUGGUGGAUGUUUGCAGUUCCAGGUUGGCCUACCGAGAAUCAGGGGAGCCAGAUUCUACAGGGCUGAUCCAGCUGAAAAUGAGACUCACAAUUUGAUCACACAGGUGCACAGUGACAACGUCGAUUGAAUUUGCAGCUCUGACAGAUGUGUUUUAUAAAGGCCGGGGCACUGAUCAGAGAGGAGCAGGAUGCCAGGGCAUGUUAUUGAACUUGGAUGAGUCUGAAAAACAGCUGCUUCUUGCUGUCUGGAGUGAUGAGCCUCUCCUUUCCUGAGAAGCCCGUGAGGAGUUCACAGGAGCAACUUCCCCAGGAGAACAUCGAGUGUCGUCUGCCCGAGCUGCCAGCAGAAACCUCUUCCUGUGUCCCAGGAUACUUGUCUCAGAGGAGAUCAUUAUGGUACCAUGGGAAUUUUCUUAUGACCCAUUGAUAGAGCAAGAAAAGACACAACCCC